rnacentral:rRNA from 1 species
GUGAACCUGCGGAAGGAUCAUUAUUGAAUUUAUU